ACACACCUGGGUUCAGACCUCGGGCAUGGUUCUCCACCUUUUCUGAACCUCAGUGUUUCCAUGUGUUCAACAGGGAUAAUAAUACUCAUUGGAUAAUUAGAAAGAAAUGCAAUAAUGCUCAUAAAGCAUGGAUGGUUAAGUGUUUAUAAAAGGUAGCUACCAUUGCUUUGAUUAGAAAUAAUAAUAACUGGGGCGCCUUGGUGGCUCAGUCACUUAAGUGUCCAACUCUUGAUUUUGGCCGAGGUCAUGAUCUCACAGUUAUGAGAUUGAGCCCUGUGUCAGGCUUCACGCUGGGUGUGGAGCCUGCUUAGGAUUCUCUCUCUCCCCCUCUCUCUGCCCCUCCCCCACCUCAGAAUAAAUAAAUACUAAAAAAAAAAAAGAACAACUAACAUUUGAGGACUUAGUCUGUGCCUUCUACAUUGCCAGGCUCUUUAUAUAUGUUACCUUCUACAUUCAGAGAGAGAAUCAGGAUUCAAAUCAAAGUCUGAUUUUAAAACUCAUACUCUUAAGUAAUAAUACAAAGCAUCGAUAUAAGUUGCUUAUUUAACAAGCUUAUUUAAUUUUAAUUUGUAUUUUCUCAAAAAUACUAUAAAACUAAUGGUGUUUCUCUGGAGGGGAUGUGGCUAAGGUUUUUUUAAACAAUUGUGUAAUGUGCUAAGAAACUGACACAAUAAAUAUGAAUUGUUUUUCAAGGCUAUCAUGCUAGGUUGUGGUCCAGUAAAAGGGUAUUAGGACCGUUAGGCUCAACUUGUACAUUAAUGUUCUCUUGCACAUUUAACAUCUGUAACUAAUGAUAACAUGAGAUUCUUCCUGAAUCUCGAUAUAGCUUUUUUGCAGAAAAAAAAAAAAGAAAAGGAAGAAUUGUACAACUCUCCUCUAGAGGACUCAGCUGAACAGGAAGGUCUGGAAAUGCCGGAAGCUACCAUCACUUUGAGGCAAGAGUGAGAAGAACAAAAUUUUACUGCAAGUUUCUGAAGGACUUGAUUUAGAAACCUUUGGAAAGCCCAGGACUGACUUAACGGGGGCCAAGACCUCAACCCGAGAGGAGCUGGCAUACAAAGAAUGUAGUGAGGUUGCUUUUCCUGCCUCAGCAGCUGACUUGGAUGUCACUGGCAAAGCAGUUUCCUUCUUAAGACCUAAAAGUUCGCUACACGUAUACCGUCUCUAUAACAUUUUCCAAUAUAUGUAGCAUAUACCAUGGUCUUCCCCACUGCUUAAUCUUCUUGUUCAUUCAUUUCGAGUUUUUAUUUAAAUUCCAACUAGUCAACAUAUAGGGUAACACUAGUUUCAGGAGGAGAAUCCAGUGACUCAUCACCCACGCACAACACUGAUCGCUCAUCACGACAAGUGCCCUCCUCAAUACCCAUCACCCACCCAACCUAUCCCCCCAGCGGCCUCCCCUCCACCACCCCUCAAUCUGCUCUCUACACCCACUGCUUAGUCAUUUGAUUUUCACUCUGUAUCCUCAGAAGAGAGUCAUUUUUUUUCCUCUUACAAAGGAUCUGUUGAUAAACUGGGUCCGGUCUUGAAAGCUUCAUUCUUAAGCAAAUGUGUAUUAAUCUCCCAGUUCCUGAUUUGCCAGGAACAUUAGGAAGCCAAAG
ensembl:lncRNA